GGGUCAGUAGGUUGGUCGUGCCACCGGUACGUACUGGUCUCACUGAUUCCUCCUUCCUGAAGAACCGUAAUGCCAUUAAUUUGGUGUCGCGGGGAAACAGGACUGUUACUUUGAAAAAAUUAGAGUGUUUAAAGCAAGCUAACGCUUGAAUACAUUAGCAUGGAAUAAUGAAAUAGGACGAUCGAUCCUAUUAUGUUGGUUCCUAGGAUUGACGUA
rnacentral:rRNA from 1 species